rnacentral:rRNA from 1 species
GACAGAGGGGGCUAGCGUUGUUCGGAUUUACUGGGCGUAAAGCGCACGUAGGCGGAUCGAUCAGUCAGGGGUGAAAUCCCAGGGCUCAACCCUGGAACUGCCUUUGAUACUGUCGAUCUGGAGUAUGGAAGAGGUGAGUGGAAUUCCGAGUGUAGAGGUGAAAUUCGUAGAUAUUCGGAGGAACACCAGUGGCGAAGGCGGCUCACUGGUCCAUUACUGACGCUGAGGUGCGAAAGCGUGGGGAGCAAACAGG